GCCCCUUUGGUGGAACAGGUAGACACAAUAGCCUUAGAAGCUAUGCUGAAGUAAUAGUAAGGUAAGAGUUCGAGUCUCUUAGGGGGUA
rnacentral:tRNA from 1 species